AGAGUUUGAUCCUGGCUCAGGAUGAACGCUGGCGGCGUGCUUAACACAUGCAAGUCGAACGAACCUUCGGGUUAGUGGCGGACGGGUGAGUAACGCGUGAGAAUCUGCCCUCAGGAGGGGGAUAACGGUUGGAAACGACCGCUAAUACCCCAUAUGCCUACUGGUGAAAUGAAUUUCGCCUGAGGAUGAGCUCGCGUCUGAUUAGCUAGUUGGUGAGGUAAUGGCUCACCAAGGCUUCGAUCAGUAGCUGGUCUGAGAGGAUGAUCAGCCACACUGGGACUGAGACACGGCCCAGACUCCUACGGGGGGCAGCAGUGGGGAAUUUUCCGCAAUGGGCGAAAGCCUGACGGAGCAACGCCGCGUGAGGGACGAAGGCCUCUGGGCUGUAAACCUCUUUUCUCAAGGAAGAAGAUAUGACGGUACUUGAGGAAUAAGCCACGGCUAAUUCCGUGCCAGCAGCCGCGGUAAUACGGGAGUGGCAAGCGUUAUCCGGAAUUAUUGGGCGUAAAGCGUCCGCAGGCGGCCCUUCAAGUCUGCUGUUAAAAAGUGGAGCUUAACUCCAUCAUGGCAGUGGAAACUGUUGGGCUCGAGUGUGGUAGGGGCAGAGGGAAUUCCCGGUGUAGCGGUGAAAUGCGUAGAUAUCGGGAAGAACACCAGUGGCGAAGGCGCUCUGCUGGGCCAUCACUGACGCUCAUGGACGAAAGCCAGGGGAGCGAAAGGGAUUAGAUACCCCUGUAGUCCUGGCCGUAAACGAUGAACACUAGGUGUCGGGGGAAUCGACCCCCUCGGUGUCGUAGCCAACGCGUUAAGUGUUCCGCCUGGGGAGUACGCACGCAAGUGUGAAACUCAAAGGAAUUGACGGGGGCCCGCACAAGCGGUGGAGUAUGUGGUUUAAUUCGAUGCAACGCGAAGAACCUUACCAGGGUUUGACAUCCUGCGAACCUCUUAGAAAUUUGAGGGUGCCUUCGGGAAUGCAGUGACAGGUGGUGCAUGGCUGUCGUCAGCUCGUGUCGUGAGAUGUUGGGUUAAGUCCCGCAACGAGCGCAACCCACGUUUUUAGUUGCCAGCAUUUAGUUGGGCACUCUAGAAAGACCGCCGGUGAUAAACCGGAGGAAGGUGUGGAUGACGUCAAGUCAUCAUGCCCCUUACACCCUGGGCUACACACGUACUACAAUGCUACGGACAAAGGGCAGCAAACUCGCGAGAGCUAGCAAAUCCCAUAAACCGUGGCUCAGUUCAGAUCGUAGGCUGCAACUCGCCUACGUGAAGUAGGAAUCGCUAGUAAUCGCAGGUCAGCAUACUGCGGUGAAUACGUUCCCGGGCCUUGUACACACCGCCCGUCACACCAUGGAAGUUGGCCAUGCCCGAAGUCGUUACUCCAACCCUUGUGGAGGAGGACGCCGAAGGUGGGGCUAAUGACUGGGGUGAAGUCGUAACAAGGUAACC
rnacentral:rRNA from 1 species